UCUUAUCAGGUUGGUCUUUAUUUAUAGCAGGACUUUGACUGGACAACGUAGCAAAAUACACACUGACUUCAUCCUGAACGCAGCUGAUUUGGGCUCUCUCCAGGAAAUAUGGCGGCUGAAAAGGGGAGGACUUCUCAGCUCAUUUCAGAUUUUCUUUUCCAGCCUUGGAAUAAAGUUACUGCAGCUCAUAAUACUCUGGUUCAUGCUGUUUCCCAGUGGAAAAGCAGGACUGAAAGGUUCUGGUUGUUCAUAAAAAUGACUCCUGGUCGAGUCGUCCAUCGAUGUAAGAGCAAAG